rnacentral:rRNA from 1 species
UACGGGGGGGGCAAGCGUUGUUCGGAAUUACUGGGCGUAAAGGGCUCGUAGGCGGCCAACUAAGUCAGACGUGAAAUCCCUCGGCUUAACCGGGGAACUGCAUCUGAUACUGGAUGGCUUGAGAUUGGGAGAGGGAUGCGGAAUUCCAGGUGUAGCGGUGAAAUGCGUAGAUAUCAGGAGGAACACCGGUGGCGAAGGCGGGUCUCUGGGCAGUAACUGACGCUGAGGAGCGAAAGCGUGGGGAGCGAACAGG